CAUGCCAAUAGUAGAGAAAUAUGUGAUCAUGAGAGAAUUCUCAUACAUGACACCAUCUAUCUAGCUAGCAAUUGUCUGAAUGUAAUACAGUAACCUGAAGAUGUGUUCUCGCUUUUUUGCUUCAAUCAUAUUUUGUGUCUUCUUCCAAUAGCAGCCAUCUAUAGAUACGAGUGUCAUUUAAACGUGAUACGUGAAGUCAAAGCCGAUGUUUUAUUUUGUUACAAUUAGUCUGAAUUUUGUAUCACAUAUCUCAUCAACCUAGCUAAUAGAUCAUACAUUAAGGGAUGCCUCUUCAACAAUAUGUUAUUCAAAAUGCC
rnacentral:lncRNA from 1 species